CUUAGAAAAAAGCAUACUGUUGAAAAAAAGGAUGCAAAGUCACGGGUCUAAAGCAUUAUUGCCAUGGCGUCCGGACUGCCUGG
rnacentral:ncRNA from 1 species